rnacentral:rRNA from 1 species
UUAAGCUACUAAGAGCUUACGAAGAAUGCCAUGGUGUUGGGAGGCGAUGAAGGACGUGGCUAGCUGCGAAAAGCCUCGGGGAGCCGCUAAACAGGCUUUGAUCCGAGGAUGUCCGAAUGGGAAAACCCACUAGAGUGAACCUCUAGUAUCUUGCAGUGAAUACAUAGCUGCUUGAAGCGAACUAAGGGAACUGAAACAUCUAAGUACCUUAAGGAAUAGAAAUCAAAUAGAGAUUCCCCCAGUAGUGGCGAGCGAACGGGGAACAGCCUAAACCGUAUAUGCUUAUAGCUAGUAGGCGUUGUAGAUACGGUGUUGAGGCGCUUCUUAGGUGGAACUACUAAUCCAUCAGAGAGUUACAAAAGAAAAAUGGAGCUAAAUGUUCUGGAAAGAACAACCAUAGAAGGUGAUAGUCCUGUAAGCAAAAGUUUUUCUCUCUCAAGAAGCCGCCAAGUACCACGAGACACGUGCAAUCUUGUGGGAAUCCGGGACGACCAUGUUCCAAGGCUAAAUACUACCCAACAACCGAUAGUGUACAAGUACCGCGAGGGAAAGGUGAAAAGAACCCCGAUAAGGGGAGUGAAAUAGAAUCUGCAAUCGUAAGCUUACAAACAGUCAAAGGGCUAUGUUCUUCGGAACACGCCUGAUGGCGUACCUUUUGUAUAAUGAGCCAGCGACUUAUUCUAUGCAGCGAGGUUAAGGCGAACGAGCUGAAGCCGUAGCGAAAGCGAGUCUUAAAUGGGCGAUUAGUUGCAUGGAGUAGACCCGAAAGCAGUGUGAGCUAGGCAUGACCAGGAUGAAGUAGGGGUAAAACCCUAUGGAGGUCCGAACCCACUAUCGUUGAAAAGAUAAGGGAUGAGUUGUGUCUAGGAGUGAAAGGCUAAUCAAACCUGCAGAUAGCUGGUUCUCCCUGAAAUCUAUUUAGGUAGAGCCUCGAGAAGUGUGAUAGCGGGAGGUAGAGCACUGAAUGGGCUAGGGGUCCUACAAGACUACCAAACCCAACCAAACUCCGAAUUCCCUACUAUUGAAUCUCGGGAGGCAGAAGAUGUGGGAUAAACUUCAUAUUCGAGAGGGAAACAGCCCAGACCGUCAGCUAAGGUCCCAAAGUUUAGACUAAGUGGGAAAGGUUGUGUGAGCGCAUAGACAGCCAGGAGGUUGGCUUAGAAGCAGCCAUCCUUUAAAGAAAGCGUAAUAGCUCACUGGUCAAGCGAGCAUGCGCCGAAGAUUUAACGGGGCUAAAGUCUAACACCGAAGCUACGGGUUCAUACGCAAGUAUGAGCGGUAAGGGAGCGUUCUAUUAUAGGCCGAAGUCAGAGCGAGAGCACUGAUGGACGAAAUAGAAGUGAAUAUGCUGGUGCAAGUAGCGAUAAGACGGGUGAAAAACCCGUCCGCCGUAAGCCUAAGGGUUCCUGGGCAAGGGUAAUCCACCCAGGGUUAGGCGGGACCUAAGUCGAGGCAGAAAUGCGUAGGCGAUGGACAGCAGGUUAAUAUUCCUGCCCCACCGAAAUUGCGUUAUCAACGAAGGGGGGACGGAGAAGGAUAUGUGAGAGUCCAUGUGGAUUGGACUUGAUCGGUCGUAGGGAGUGCUGUAGGCAAAUCCGCAGCACAUAUGCCUGAGAGCCAGGACGAGAAGACUCCUUCGGGUUUCUUCAAGUCACAGACUCCAUGCUUCCAAGAAAAUCCUCGUAGUGAGUAAUUUUGGUGCCCGUACCGUAAACCGACACAGGUAGGCGAGGAGAGAAUCCUAAGGCGCUCGAGAGAAUACAGGUUAAGGAACUCAGCAAAAUAACACCGUAACUUCGGAAGAAGGUGUGCCCGUAGUAAGUGACUCCUAACAAGAGAAGCUGAAAUGGGUUGCAGUUAGCAGGGGGUAGCGACUGUUUACUAAAAACACAGGGCUCUGCAAAGUCGCAAGACGACGUAUAGGGUCUGACGCCUGCCCGGUGCUGGAAGGUUAAAAGGAGAGGUCAACCGUUAGGUGAAGCCUUGAAUUGAAGCCCCAGUAAACGGCGGCCGUAACUAUAACGGUCCUAAGGUAGCGAAAUUCCUUGUCGGGUAAGUUC